rnacentral:tRNA from 1 species
GUCUAGCGGUUAGAACGCUGGCCUUGUAAGCCUGGGGUCCCGGGUUCAGUUCCCGG